rnacentral:rRNA from 1 species
CGCGGCCUAUCAGCUUGUUGGUGGGGUAACGGCCUACCAAGGCAUCGACGGGUAGCUGGUCUGAGAGGACGAUCAGCCGGAUUGGGACUGAGAUACGGCCCAGACUCCUACGGGGGGCAGCAAUUAGGAAUCUUGCACAAUGGGGGAAACCCUGAUGCAGCGACGUCGCGUGGAGGAUGAAAUCUUUCGGGAUGUAAACUCCUUUUAACGGGGAAGAAAAAAAUGACGGUACCCGUUGAAUAAGCCCCGGCUAACUACGUGCCAGCAGCCGCGGUAAUACGUAGGGGGCGAGCGUUGUCCGAAGUUACUGGGCGUAAAGAGCGCGUAGGCUGGUCUUUAAGUGAGUGGUGAAAGGUUCGGGCUCAACCCGGACACUGCCUUUCAUACUGGGGACCUUGAGUGUGGGAGAGGCGAGUGGAAUGGUCGGUGUAGCGGUGAAAUGCGUAGAUAUCGAUCGGAACACCCAUGGCGAAGGCAGCUCGCUGGCCUGACACUGACGCUGAGGCGCGAAAGCGUGGGGAGCAAACAGGAUUAGAUACCCUGGUAGUCCACGCCGUAAACGAUGAGUGCUAGAUGUAAGGGGUAUCGACCCCCCUUGUGUCGCAGCUAACGCAAUAAGCACCCCGCCUGGGGAGUACGG